rnacentral:rRNA from 1 species
ACGCAUUGAGCACAAAGAUUUCGAACGCACAUUGCACCAUCGGGUUGAUUCCCGAUGGUACGUCUGGCUGAGGGUCGAUUUAAUGAUCAUCCAAGCAACUCAUUCAUGUUAAGAGUAUGUUUGAACUUACAAUCAUCAGGUGAUAGGAAACAUGCAGCAAAUGAAUUUUAUCCCCUGAUAAGUAUUGUGUAUCAAUAUGAAAGUUUGUUUCAUGUUGAUUAUCGAUAUGUGUAAAACACAAAGAAUUGAAAGAAAUUCAAAAAUAAUGCAAAAAUGAAUUUCAUCAAUUGUUUUAUUUGUGUAUGUACA